rnacentral:rRNA from 1 species
UUUCCUACGGGAGGCUGCAGUGGGGAAUCUUGCGCAAUGGGCGAAAGCCUGACGCAGCAACGCCGCGUGCGGGAUGACGGCCUUCGUGGUUGUAAACCGCUUUCAGCAGGGACGAAAAUGACGGUACCUGCAGAAGAAGCCCCGGCUAACUACGUGCCAGCAGCCGCGGUAAUACGUAGGGGGCAAGCGUUGUCCGGAUUCAUUGGGCGUAAAGAGCUCGUAGGCGGUUCAGUAAGUCGGGUGUGAAAGCUCCGAGCUCAACUCGGAGAGGCCACCCGAUACUGCUGUGACUUGAGUCCAGUAGAGGAGCGUGGAACUCCUGGUGUAGCGGUGGAAUGCGCAGAUAUCAGGAAGAACACCUGCAGCGAAGGCGGCGCUCUGGGCUGGAACUGACGCUGAGGAGCGAAAGCGUGGGUAGCAAACAGGAUUAGAUACCCGAGUAGUCUA